CUCUCUCUCUCUCUCUCUCAUAAAUAGGCCUGGUAGUUUGGAUGCCAGCUAGGGGGUGACCCUCCCCAAAAGAGGCAUGGGUGAGCUGCUGUGGGUUCGCGGGGGUUCGGGAGAACCUCUAGCUAAGAUUCUGUGCAGUUCGAGAGAACCCCCAAAUUCCAUUCCUGGCUGGCCCCUUCCACCCCGCCCAGGAGUCCCCACGUGGCCCGUUUUGGAUGCAGUGAUGUUCCGUGACCAGAAACGGCCAGGGAGAGCUCCCAACGGUUCACUGAUCUAGAACAAAAUGGACAGGAAGCCGAGAUUCCGGUCUUCUCCUUGUUGCCUCGGGGAGAUCCAGUGGGUCACCCUGAGUGACUUCUAAGGUCCUGCCCCUUGAAUCAAAGUGAGCAGAGAAUAUUUCCCAGGAGGAAAGCCUGUCUUGUGUUCUCAGCAUCAAAUAAAUAAAUAAAUAAAUAAAAAUGGAAAGAAAUCCAAUUCGGAAGGGUCCUUGCUGCUCUUUGAGCUCGGCUGUUUCCAUGCAGACAUUCCGUUAUCCGAGUAGGUAACA